ACGAACGCUGGCGGCGUGCUUAACCCAUGCAAGUCGCACGGAAAGGCCCUGCUUGCAGGGUACUCGAGUGGCGAACGGGUGAGUAACACGUGGGUGAUCUGCCCUGCACUUCGGGAUAAGCUUGGGAAACUGGGUCUAAUACCGGAUAGGAGCCAUCUUUAGUGUGGUGGUUGGAAAGUUUUUUCGGUGUAGGAUGAGCUCGCGGCCUAUCAGCUUGUUGGUGGGGUAAUGGCCUACCAAGGCGGCGACGGGUAGCCGGCCUGAGAGGGUGUACGGCCACAUUGGGACUGAGAUACGGCCCAGACUCCUACGGGAGGCAGCAGUGGGGAAUAUUGCACAAUGGGCGCAAGCCUGAUGCAGCGACGCCGCGUGGGGGAUGAAGGCCUUCGGGUUGUAAACUCCUUUCGCUAGGGACGAAGCUUUUUUGUGACGGUACCUAGAUAAGAAGCACCGGCUAACUACGUG
rnacentral:rRNA from 1 species